rnacentral:tRNA from 1 species
GCGGAGGUUCCCCUAGUCAGGUCAACGGGGUCGGACUGAGGUGCCGGCGAAAAGGUUCAAUUCCCUCCCUCCGCA